rnacentral:sRNA from 1 species
UGGAGAAGAAGAAGAAGAAAC